UACGUAGGGGGCUAGCGUUGUCCGGAAUCAUUGGGCGUAAAGAGCGCGUAGGCGGCCAGAUAAGUCCGGUGUGAAAGUCAAAGGCUCAACCUUUGAAUGCCGCUGGAAACUGUCUGGCUAGAGUCCGGGAGGGGCGAGUGGAAUUCCUGGUGUAGCGGUGAAAUGCGCAGAUAUCAGGAAGAACACCAAUGGCGAAGGCAGCUCUCUGGGACGGUACUGACGCUGAGACGCGAAAGCGUGGGGAGCGAACAGG
rnacentral:rRNA from 1 species